rnacentral:rRNA from 1 species
GACGAACGCUGGCGGCGUGCUUAACACAUGCAAGUCGAACGGAAAGGCCCUGCUUUUGUGGGGUGCUCGAGUGGCGAACGGGUGAGUAACACGUGAGUAACCUGCCCUUGACUUUGGGAUAACCUCAGGAAACUGGGGCUAAUACCGGAUAGGAGCUCCUGCUGCAUGGUGGGGGUUGGAAAGUUUCGGCGGUUGGGGAUGGACUCGCGGCUUAUCAGCUUGUUGGUGGGGUAGUGGCUUACCAAGGCUUUGACGGGUAGCCGGCCUGAGAGGGUGACCGGCCACAUUGGGACUGAGAUACGGCCCAGACUCCUACGGGAGGCAGCAGUGGGGAAUAUUGCACAAUGGGCGGAAGCCUGAUGCAGCAACGCCGCGUGCGGGAUGACGGCCUUCGGGUUGUAAACCGCUUUCGCCUGUGACGAAGCGUGAGUGACGGUAAUGGGUAAAGAAGCACCGGCUAACUACGUGCCAGCAGCCGCGGUGAUACGUAGGGUGCGAGCGUUGUCCGGAUUUAUUGGGCGUAAAGGGCUCGUAGGUGGUUGAUCGCGUCGGAAGUGUAAUCUUGGGGCUUAACCCUGAGCGUGCUUUCGAUACGGGUUGACUUGAGGAAGGUAGGGGAGAAUGGAAUUCCUGGUGGAGCGGUGGAAUGCGCAGAUAUCAGGAGGAACACCAGUGGCGAAGGCGGUUCUCUGGGCCUUUCCUGACGCUGAGGAGCGAAAGCGUGGGGAGCGAACAGGCUUAGAUACCCUGGUAGUCCACGCUGUAAACGGUGGGUACUAGGUGUGGGGUCCAUUCCACGGGUUCCGUGCCGUAGCUAACGCUUUAAGUACCCCGCCUGGGGAGUACGGCCGCAAGGCUAAAACUCAAAGGAAUUGACGGGGCCCCGCACAAGCGGCGGAGCAUGCGGAUUAAUUCGAUGCAACGCGUAGAACCUUACCUGGGUUUGACAUGGAUCGGGAGUGCUCAGAGAUGGGUGUGCCUCUUUUGGGGUCGGUUCACAGGUGGUGCAUGCCUGUCGUCAGCUCGUGUCGUGAGAUGUUGGGUUAAGUCCCGCAACGAGCGCAACCCUUGUUCACUGUUGCCAGCACGUUAUGGUGGGGACUCAGUGGAGACCGCCGGGGUCAACUCGGAGGAAGGUGGGGAUGACGUCAAGUCCUCAUGCCCCUUAUGUCCAGGGCUUCACGCAUGCUACAAUGGCUGGUACAGAGAGUGGCGAGCCUGUGAGGGUGAGCGAAUCUCGGAAAGCCGGUCUCAGUUCGGAUUGGGGUCUGCAACUCGACCUCAUGAAGUCGGAGUCGCUAGUAAUCGCAGAUCAGCAACGCUGCGGUGAAUAAGUUCCCGGG